UAGGGAAUCUUCCACAAUGGACGCAAGUCUGAUGGAGCAACGCCGCGUGAGUGAAGAAGGUUUUCGGACCGUAAAGCUCUGUUGUUGGUGAAGAAGGAUAGAGGUAGUAACUGGCCUUUAUUUGACGGUAAUCAACCAGAAAGUCACGGCUAACUACGUGCCAGCAGCCGCGGUAAUACGUAGGUGGCAAGCGUUGUCCGGAUUUAUUGGGCGUAAAGCGAGCGCAGGCGGAAGAAUAAGUCUGAUGUGAAAGCCCUCGGCUUAACCGAGGAAUUGCAUCGGAAACUGUUUUCUUGAGUGCAGAAGAGGAGAGUAGAACUCCAUGUGUAGCGGUGGAAUGCGUAGAUAUAUGGAAGAAUACCAGUGGCGAAGGCGGCUCUCUGGUCUGCAACUGACGCUGAGGCUCGAAAGCAUGGGUAGCGAACAGGAUUAGAUACCCUG
rnacentral:rRNA from 1 species